rnacentral:rRNA from 1 species
CCUACGGGUGGCAGCAGUGGGGAAUAUUGGGCAAUGGGCGCAAGCCUGACCCAGCUACGCCGCGUGAAGGAUGAAGGCUCUCGGGUUGUAAACCUCUUUUAAGAGGGACGAGCAGAAGCCGGUACCUCUUGAAUAAUCCUCGGCUAACUACGGGCCAGCAGCCGCGGUAAUACGUAGGUGGCAAGCGUUGUCCGGAUUUACUGGGUGUAAAGGGGGUGUAUCCGGGCUGACAAGACAGAUGUGAAAUUCCGGGGCUCAACCCGGGAACUGCAUUUGAGACUGUUGGGCUUGAGUAUCUGAGAGGCAGGCGGAAUUCCUAGUGUAGCGGUGAAAUGCGUAGAUAUGAGGAAGAACACCGAUGGCGAAGGCAGCCUGCUGGACCGCAACUGACGGUGAGGCGCGAAAGCGUGGGGAGCAAACAGGAUUAGAUACCCCAGUAGUC